GAAACUUUAUACACUGUGACCUGCAAAGGGCCAUUUAAUCCAUUAAUCUUUAUUUUAUUAUUACUUUACUACAUGGAAACCUGGGGGAAAUUCAAAAGCUAUAACUUGCUAAAACCCCCAAUUGUUUGGAGGUGUUUUUUUUAUAAAAUAAAACAUCGCUGUUCUGGGCUCCUUUGUGAUUAUUAAUAACUUCUUUAAUCACCUGGUCAUUUCCCGGCGACGAUUCUUUCCUCUUUUUGCUCCCCUCUAUUUUUAUGGUGGGAAGAUAGUGCCAUCCUAUGGUCUCCGGUAGUAGGGAGUUUUGGUUGUAUUCUUGAGGAAAGGGCUGAUGACGGCUACCAUCACCUUUGAGGAGCGCGUGCCGCGCAUUAUUACCCAAUCACGUUACGAGGUUGUAGAGACGCUAUAAAAUAACACAGGGCCCUUUUGGGUCUUGGAUGUGAAGUGAAUAUAGUGCACCCUUCACGACGAAGAUUGGAGGGCAAGUCUGGUGGCGCCCGCCGCCGCAAUUCCUCUCCUUAAUAUAUAUAUAAUAUUGUUGCUGCUAAUAAACUCCUAAUUGAACCUUGGGCCGCUCGUGCCGGCCCCCCUCUUUUCUAGUACUGCUGGUCAUGGCCCUUUCUCUCUGUCGGAUCCCCUUGUCUCUCGGGGCUGCGGCGCCAAGCCUGGACUUUCUACUGUAAUAAAAUUGUACUGUUCACGCCAGUGCUCUGCUCUAAUACAUUAGCACAGAAUAAUAGAAAUUGGCGUGUGGUUUUAUUUUUUUGGGUUUUAGGGCCCCUUUAAAGAUUAAAAGGGGUAGGUUCGGGGGCUCCUGAAUUCAAUUCUCAGGGGGGAAAUUUGGGGAUUUAUGGAGGAUUAUUUUUUGAAAAAGCAUUCCAAAGGGAUGUUUUCUUUAAUCAGAACGAAAAGUAGGGGAUUGGAAGAGAUCAGAUACCGUUGUAGUUUUAACCAUAAAAUAUGCCGACUAGGGAUCGGGCGGGGUUUUUUUAAUGACCCGCUCGGCACCUUACGAGAAAUCAAAGUCUGUGGGUU
rnacentral:rRNA from 1 species